CUACGAGCCGCUGCAGUGAGGAAUAUUGCACAAUGAGGGGAACCCUGAUGCAGCAACGCCGCGUGGAGGAUGACGCAUUUCGGUGUGUAAACUCCUUUUAUAUGUCAAGAAAAUGACGGUAGCAUAUGAAUAAGCACCGGCCAACUCCGUGCCAGCAGCCGCGGUAAUACGGAGGGUGCAAGCGUUACUCGGAAUCACUGGGCGUAAAGGACGCGUAGGCGGGUUGGAAAGUCAGGUGUGAAAUCCUACAGCUUAACUGUAGAACUGCACUUGAAACUUCUAAUCUAGAGUAUGGGAGGGGGAGAUGGAAUUAGUGGUGUAGGGGUAAAAUCCGUAGAUAUCACUAGGAAUACCUAAAGCGAAGGCGAUCUCCUGGAACAUUACUGACGCUAAGGCGUGAAAGCGUGGGGAGCAAACAGGAUUAGAUACCCCCGUAGUC
rnacentral:rRNA from 1 species